UCUGUCGUGGGCGCUGGAGAACUGAGGGGGGCUGCUCCUAGUACGAGAGGACCGGAGUGGACGCAUCACUGGUGUUCGGGUUGUCAUGCCAAUGGCACUGCCCGGUAGCUAAAUGCGGAAGAGAUAAGUGCUGAAAGCAUCUAAGCACGAAACUUGCCCCGAGAUGAGUUCUCCCUGAGACUUAGAGUCUCCUGAAGGAACGUUGAAGACGACGACGUUGAUAGGCCGGGUGUGUAAGCGCAGCGAUGCGUUGAGCUAACCGGUACUAAUGAACCGUGAGGCUUAACCUUACAACGCCGAAG
rnacentral:rRNA from 1 species